CUACAGUGCCCAUAAUUAGUGAAUCUUGGUAGGUCAAGCUGCUUACAGGAAGUGAUGAUAUCAGUGCUGAAGAUGUCUAUAUUUCAUAGUGUGUAACCAAUCCUUAAAGACUGGAUAAUUCUGGAUAAUUUCAUCAUCUUGUUUUCUCAGAGAAGAACUAGGGUAACUCAGCUUCUGUGAAGUCUCUAACAAGCUAUUUGAUGAAUAUAAGACUUUCACAAGGAUUUUUGCUUCAUGUUAAAACUUGCCAUGUUCCAAAAGACAUCUUAAAACCCAUGAGGCAUAGGAGAACAAUUGUGUUGUAAAUGUAUCUUAAUAUGUCAUUCCCUGUCCCCUGCUGCUAAGCGAAAAUGAUGUUUCCAUGCUUACUAUGAAUUUCUGUGCUUAUAAAGGAUUGUGUCUCUUAUUUAGCUGUUAUCUGAAACUAUUUUCUAUAUUUGUUUAGUUAAAAAUAAAGCUGUAGUAGAAGCUAAACAUUAGUCCUUAAUAUAAGGACUAAACCUAAAGGACAUUAAACUUGCAAGAGCCCACAGACUCCAUGGUUCUGGUUGGAAAUGUAUUACUUGGUCUGCUUAGAUUUUUUUUUUUUAAUGAUUUUAUUAUUCUAUGUUAGGACAGAUUUCCUUGUUAAGCAUGGUGAAUUAACAGACAUCAAACUGGGUAAAUAGCUUGUCAAUGUACUGUAUAAUGGCAAACAUUUGAAGUAGUUACAGUAACCAAUCCUAUUGCACAGCAAUCUCCCCGUACCUCAUUUCCUAGUCACUUCAAAUACUGUCACACAGAAUACUUCUCCACAAAACCUCAUUUCCCAGUUCUGUGUAGCUAGUGUGAAAUGAGCCACUUACCCUCAAAAAUAACCACUGAAGGUUGUCAGAAGGCAGUUUGAUCAGCUACCAAUUCUCUAUCUGCUGUAAUAAAGUGGCAAUGCUGUCAUUCCAAACCAGCCUCUACAGAAUACAGUUUCUUCUCCUAGGCCAGCUCCAAACAAAUAUUCCACUGUGGCUCUGAGAGACUUCUGAUAUAGUAUUUUCUUCCCUUUGGUUUGCAUGUGGGGAGGAAAACAAACAAACAAACAAAAAAAAAAAAA